rnacentral:pre_miRNA from 1 species
AACUUACUCCCUCCGUCCCAAAAUUCUUGUCUUAGAUUUGUCUAAAUACGGAUGUAUCAAGUCACGUUUUAGUAUUAGGUACAUCCGUAUCUAGACAAAUUUAAGACAAUAAUUUUGGGACGGAGGGAGUAUUAU